ACAGGGACCGGGCUAUAGCUCAGUGGUAGAACAUCUGCUUUGCAUGCAGAAGGUUCUAGGUUCAAUCCCCGCAUCUCUGGA